CCGGGCUCAUAAGAAAAUUGUGACCUAUCGCAGUAAUGUGAUAUGGAAAAACUCUCUAAAUUGACUGGGAACCCGGCACUUUCUAAGAUUUCAAAGAAAGUGCCGGGCAAUCAGCAGCGAAACUUCUCUGGUUUAAUAAAUUAGAGAAUGACGUUCAGAGACUAUAAUGGGAGGAUCCGCCAGCCGGCGGAUCAUGGUAUAGUCCGAUCCUUCGAGUAAUCGAAGU
rfam:Candidatus Yanofskybacteria bacterium RIFCSPHIGHO2_01_FTLL_48_25b rifcsphigho2_01_scaffold_11723, whole genome shotgun sequence.